rnacentral:rRNA from 1 species
UACGAAGGGGGCUAGCGUUGUUCGGAUUAACUGGGCGUAAAGCGCGCGUAGGCGGGUUUUAAGUCAGGGGUGAAAUCCCAAGGCUCAACCUUGGAACUGCCUUUGAUACUGGAAAUCUUGAGUCCGGGAGAGGUGAGUGGAAUUGCGAGUGUAGAGGUGAAAUUCGUAGAUAUUCGCAAGAACACCAGUGGCGAAGGCGGCUCACUGGUCCGGUUCUGACGCUGAGGCGCGAAAGCGUGGGGAGCAAACAGG